rnacentral:tRNA from 3 species
GGGCGAUUAGCUCAGAUGGUUAGAGCGCGUCACUGAUAAUGACGAGGUCUGAGGUUCGAUUCCUCAAUCGCCCACCA